GAAAGAUGAAAAGAACUUUGAAAAGAGAGUUAAACAGUACGUGAAAUUGUUGAAAGGGAAACGAUUGAAGUCAGUCAUACCAACGGGAAAUCAACCUUUUGAGCUUGGUCUCGUGGGUUUUGAAGAGUUUCAAAGCCUUCGGAUUCGCGGGAUUGGGAUCUCUUGGUGUACUUUUUCGUACGGUUAGUCAACAUCGGUUUUGAAUGUCAUAAAAUGACUGGAGGAAUGUAGCUUCGAUCUCGUAUUGAAGUGUUAUA
rnacentral:rRNA from 1 species